AGCUCAGUUGGUAGAGCAUGAGACUCUCAAUCUCAGGGUUAUGGGUUUGAGCCCCAU
rnacentral:tRNA from 1 species